UGGCUUUAUGUUCCCUCUUGAUGCUUUUACCUUCUUUCUCCAGCUAUUGAAAAAGACUUCCUUCUGGGCGGGGAUUCCCAACUCCCUGGGUGGCCCCGUUCAGCUCUGAAGUCGGCUGGAGUCUGAUCGUCUCUGUGGGGGUGUGCACCCCUCCCAGGUCCUCAGAUCAGGGCUCCUGGCAGGACACUUAAGAAAGUCCUUAGUUUCUGUGAAACGCUUCUAUGCACAGAUCAGUAAGUCUGCAUUUAAGCUCAGGUUCUCCUAAGAAGGCUCCACCUUGCCUGCUUAUGGCCCCUGGAAAAGGAAACUGUUGGCGUUUUCUCCUAAAUGUGUAUUUGAACUUCACAAGCACUUGUACUGUUCACCAGCGACACAGGCCAGGUAACCCUUCCAGAAGUGGGGAAAUCCCUGACCAAGGUCUAAGGCUCAGUGGGGCAGGGGCUUGGUUGCACAACAGGAGUGAGACCCUCCCAAACUUUGCCAGUAUGCUCUUCCCUCACCCCGCCUACGGGCAUUGACCGGGCAGAGCUGACACUGGUCUGCUGCUGGGCUCAUCAGAGAUGCCCUCGGCUCCAACAUGACCAGGGGACACAGGUGGAGGCAGAGACAGGAGCCACAGUGAAUGUCAGUCAGCAGACAAGGGACCUCUGUGCCAGAGUGGUGAGCCUGAGGUCUGGAUGAUGGGCUCUGGGCUCAGUGCUAGAAGCCAAAGAGGGGUAAGUUGAAAGGCUGAAAAACCAGCUUUGCUUCAGAAGGAAGAAGAUGUGAAACUAUUUCUUUUCUGGAACUUGGAUUUGAGAGCCAGACCCAUGGGAACUGUGGUGUGGUGAACAGCUGCCAGGAGACCCCAGGGCAUGCAGGAAAUCAUGCUGCCUUGAAGGAAAGCCUGGCCUUUGAAAUCCCACACAGAGAGGGACCAACAACUGUCCAGUUUGCCCAGGACCGAGGGGUUUCCAGGGAUGUGGCUCUUUCCACAUCAAAACAGGAAGCCUAGACCAACUGGGAUGAGUUGGUUAUUUUGCUCACAUUGUGAGCAAACAAAGGGGCUUGGUUUUGUUCUGACUGACUUCGUACCAUAAAAGCACUUCAGACAUCUUGCAUGCCUUCUGCAAAUGAUUAUUCUGGAGGGGUCCAGGGGAGUUUUGUGUAGGGCCUGAGGGCUUCAGCCCGGGCAAGUUCACUCAGGAUUCAGUGAAACUGAAAAAUGAAUGUUGUGGGUAAAAGGGUUUAUGCUCAGCUUUAUUCCUGAAGUGGCAGGCCAAGCGCUAGAAUCCUGCCCACCUCAGGCAAGUCGGUGCGCAGCAAGCCGGCUGUUGGCUCCAGGCCCCUCCGCCCCCCAGCAGCCGCAGGGCCCUGGCUGGAGUCCCUUGGGCAGAGUCAUCACAGCCCAUUGCCCACGGCUGUGCCCAGCCUGUGCCUGCGCGCACUGCACGUGCGCGGUGGGCAAGCCGAC